AUUGAACGCUGGCGGCAGGCCUAACACAUGCAAGUCGAGCGGAUGAAGGGAGCUUGCUCCUGGAUUCAGCGGCGGACGGGUGAGUAAUGCCUAGGAAUCUGCCUGGUAGUGGGGGAUAACGUCCGGAAACGGGCGCUAAUACCGCAUACGUCCUGAGGGAGAAAGUGGGGGAUCUUCGGACCUCACGCUAUCAGAUGAGCCUAGGUCGGAUUAGCUAGUUGGGUGGGUAAAGGCCUACCAAGGCGACGAUCCGUAACUGGUCUGAGAGGAUGAUCAGUCACACGGGAACUGAGACACGGUCCAGACUCCUACGGGAGGCAGCAGUGGGGAAUAUUGGACAAUGGGCGAAAGCCUGAUCCAGCCAUGCCGCGUGUGUGAAGAAGGUCCUCGGAUUGUAAAGCACUUUAAGUUGGGAGGAAGGGCAGUAAGUUAAUACCUUGCUGUUUUGGCGUUACCAACAGAAUAAGCACCGGCUAACUUCGUG
rnacentral:rRNA from 1 species